AUUGAACGCUGGCGGCAUGCUUUACACAUGCAAGUCGGACGGCAGCACAGAGAAGCUUGCUUCUUGGGUGGCGAGUGGCGAACGGGUGAGUAAUAUAUCGGAACGUACCGAGUAAUGGGGGAUAACUAAUCGAAAGAUUAGCUAAUACCGCAUAUUCUCUGAGGCGGAAAGCAGGGGACCUUCGGGCCUUGCGUUAUUCGAGCGGCCGAUAUCUGAUUAGCUAGUUGGUGGGGUAAAGGCCUACCAAGGCGACGAUCAGUAGCGGGUCUGAGAGGAUGAUCCGCCACACUGGGACUGAGACACGGCCCAGACUCCUACGGGAGGCAGCAGUGGGGAAUUUUGGACAAUGGGCGCAAGCCUGAUCCAGCCAUGCCGCGUGUCUGAAGAAGGCCUUCGGGUUGUAAAGGACUUUUGUCAGGGAAGAAAAGGCUGUUGCUAAUAUCGACAGCUGAUGACGGUACCUGAAGAAUAAGCACCGGCUAACUACGUG
rnacentral:rRNA from 1 species